GUAGAAAUUUGUAAGAGUCUAUUGAGGUAGAGCCACUGGUGUGCCUUCUUCAUGAUCACUGCAAUAUAUUGAGCCCAGGAUAGAUCUCCAAAUGUUGAUGCCCAGGAACAUAAAGCUGCUAAGCCUUUUAACUGCUGACCCCACAAUUAAAACUGUGUCUUCUCUUGACUUCUCCUUCUUGAAGUCCACAAUCAGGUCUUUGGUCCUGCUGAUGUUCAGUGCAAUGUUGGUGUUGUGACACAACUCAGCCAGCCAAUCUAUAUUGCUCUUAUAAGCCUCCUCAUCAUUGUCUGAGAUUCUACCAACUACAGUGGUGUCAUUGGGAAUUUUAUAGAUGGUGUUAAAGCUGUGCUUAGCCACACAAUCAUGAGUGCAGAGAAAGUACAGCAGUGGGCUAAAUGCAUAUCCUUGAAGAGCAAGGAUAUGUUGCUAUCCUGUGUAACCCUUACCCAACAGGCUGGUAUAUGUCUAGGGGAAAAGGAGAUCCAGCCACACACCAACCCGCCUCCCGUACACGCAGGUGCUGUGGGAAUCAAGUUUAUGCCGCGCACACACACUCGGUAUCAAACACACACCAGAUACUGUUAUGAAAUACACUUUAAAGAUUUUACUAAUACUAAAAGAGUACUAUGCAAUACAAUAUAUAUGAAAGAAAAGAAAAAAGUAAAAGGUGCCAACUUAUCAAAGUUCAGCCAGUUUAGUGCACAUCGUUGGAGCUCAACCAUCGAACCAUUCGACCCCUCAUCAUUUUCCUCCGACCUCCAUGUCCUCGCACCUGGGACCACCCCCGGUGGUCAACCGAUCAGUGCAGCGCACGUCCACCUUCCUCGGCGCCUUCCUCCCGACUCCCCUUUAAAAACCGCGAAAACCUCCAAGCUCCCAUCCUCACCAGACAAAAUAACAUUCCCCAUUAGUUAACAAAUGAAUACAAUCCCCAUAUCAGCAAGUCUAAAGCUAAACAAUCGUGAGAGAAAUACUUAUCAGACAAAGAAGCAUUCCUACUCUUAACAAACCAAAGAAGCCAUUUUGAGUCACAUACACAGGACAUUGUACACUAAGUUGCUAGUCAAUAAGAAGGAGAUGCUAUUACCUAUCCACACCUGAUAUGGUCUCCCAAUAAGAAAGUUAUAGAGGAAGGUUUUAAGACCUGGGUUUUAGAACAUAGAACAUAGAAAAGUACAGCACAGGAACUGACCAUACAGCCCAAUAUACUGCACUGAAACAAAUAAAUUAGUAAUCAAACGGCCAUCUAAGUUAAUCCCUUAACAUAAAGUGCAUAUCUUUCCAUUUUCCUCACCUUCAUGUGCCUAUCUAAACGUCUCAUUAAAGUCCUUAAAGUCUUUGCCUCUUCCACAACCCCAGGCACCCUCCACUCUCUGGGUAAAAAAAACUUGCCUCUCACAUCUCCUUAAAAACUACUCUCUCACACCUUAAAUGCUUGCCUCUGGUAUUAGACAUUGCAACCCUGGGAAAAUGAUACUAUCAGUCUACUCUGUCUAUGCCUCUCAUAACCUUAUAAACCUCCAUCAGAUUUUCCCUCUGCCUCGGGUGUUCCAGAGAAACAAAUCCAAGUUUGUCCAACUUCUCGUUAUAGCACAUGCCCUCUAAUCCAGGUAGCAUCCUGGGUAAACCACUUCUGCACCUUCCCCAUAGGCUCAAGAUCCUUACUGUGACCAGAACAGUAUGAAAUACUCCAGAUGCAGCCUAACAAGACUUCUAUAAAGUUGUGACAUACUAUAACUUGCUGAAUUUUGAACUCGGUGCCUGGACUAAUAGAAGCAAGCAUGCCACAUGCCUUCAUAACCACCCUAUCAACCUGCGUGGCCACUCUUAGGGAGCUAUGAACUUUGGACUCCUAGAUCCUUUUGCUCAACAACACCACUAAGGGGCUUGCCCUCAACUGUGUAUUGCCUCUUUACGUUUGACCACCAACAAUGCAGCACAUAGCCGAGUUAAACUCCAUCUCCGCCCAUAGCUACAACUGAUCUUUAACUAUAUUGUAUACUUUGCCAGUCAUCUAUGGCAUCUACAACACGACCAAUCCUCAUAUCAUAUGCAAACUUAUUAACCCUUCCAUGUAUACUUUUAUCUAUCACAACAUAAAAACAGAGGUCCCAGUACAGGUCUUCCUGGAUAUACCCAACCCUUCCUUCCCCUUUACUUCAAAGUUAUUAAUACUGUCGGCACUGAUCUUUUUAUCCUCCACAUCCUUCUCCUUGGUAAAUACUAAUGAAAAGUUUUCAUUAACGACCUUACCCUCAUACUUUACAUCCAAGCAAAUCCCCUUGGAUCCCCUUACAUCCUUACAUCCACUUUAUCCUUGAGUGGUCAAAGUUCAAAGUGCAAAGUAAAAUUUAUAAUCAGAGUACAUACAUGCCAUGUACGACGCUGAGGUUCUUUUUCUGCAGGUUUAGUUAGAAAAUCUAUAGAACAGUAACUGUAAACUAUAAACAUCAGGAGCUGUUAACAGUAAACAAACAGUGCAAAUGCAUAAUAAAUAGCAAUAAAUAACAAGUAUGAAAUAACAAUAUAACAGAGUCCAUAAGUAACUGUAGCUAUCUCCUUUUGUUUGAGAGUCUUAUGGUUAAGGAGUAGUAAUUAUCUUGAACAUGAUUGUGUGAAUCCUGAGGUUCCUGAACCUUCUAACUUAUCGCAGUAGCCAGAAAAGAGCAUGGCCUGGGUGGUGAGGAUCUCUGAUGAUAGAUGCUGCUUUUCUACAGCACUGUUUCAUGUAGACAUGUUCAGUGGUUGGGAGGGCUUUACCUGUGAUGUACUGGGCUGAGUCCACUACCUUUUGGAGGAUUUUCCACUCAAAGGCAUUAGUGUUCCCUACCAGUCCAUAAUGCUGCCAGUCAGUACACGUUCCUCUACACAUAAUAGACGUUUGUCAAGGUUUUUGAUGACAUUUCACUCCACAGAUUCCUAAAGAAGUAGAGGUACUGUUGUGCUUUCUUUGCAAUCACAUUUAUGUGAUAGGUCCUCUGAGAUAAUGACACACAAGAAUGUAAAGUUACUGAUUCUCUCCACCUCUGACACCCACCCGCCAAGCUAUUCUCUUACUCCUGAUGUAUGAGUAGAAUGCUUAAUUGCCAGGGACCCUUCAUGAUGCCACCUAGUUUCCCUAAAUCCCUUUUUGAGUUAUUUUCUUGCUUCUUUAUAAGCAUCCAGGAUCCUGCUUGAUACUAACUUCCUAAGCUUUAUAGACACUUCCUUUCUCUUCUUGACUAAAUUCAUCACCUCUUAGUGAACACCAUCAAACUCACUUCAUAUGACAAUCCUGGAAUCAUUUUCUCAAACAUCCUUAGGACUCUCUCAAAUUUCAGCACAUUCUUUCUCUGAUAAGGAAAGAAAAACUGCCCACAAUACUCCAAGGAAGCCUCACCAGUGCUUUGUAAAGUCUCAACAUUACAUCCUUGCUUUUAUAUUCUAGUCCUCUUGAAAUGAAUGCUUUCUUGAGGAAAUUCAGAUUGAUACAGGGAGGUAUAGAAAUCUUGAAAUGCCUUAUUUAUCUCAUCAUGAUUAACUGUCAGAUUCCCAUUCUGCUGACCAAUCUUAGUGAUUUGACGUUUAACCAGAGCAUUCUUAAAUUGACUAGCUAACAGUUUACCAGAUUUAUCACUAUGUAUAUAAAAAUCAGAUUUAGUUUUCAUUAAUUGAUUUUCAAUCGAGGAUGUAAGUAAUAAACUAUGUUCCAUUUGAAGUUCAACCCUUUGUUUGUAAAGCUCCUUACUAGGAGCAAUCGAAUAUUUCUUAUCAAUCUCUUUAAUUUUAUCAACCAAUAAAAGAGUUUCCAUCUUGAUACGUUUCCUCAAACCAACAGAAUAAGAAAUAAUCUGUCCACGUAUAUAAGCUUUAAAAGUGUCCCAAAGUGUUCCACAGGAAAUAUCAUCUGUAGAAUUAGUUGAGAAGAAGAAGUCGAUCUGCUCCUCCAUAAAUUUUAUAAAGUCAGAGUCUUGCAACAAGGUAGAGUCAAAUCGCCAUUGUCUAGCAUUAGAAGCUGUAUCCGUAAAUUUCAUAGAAAGUAAUAACAGAGCAUGAUCAGAGAUAGCUAUAAUAUCAUAGUUACAACCGAUUACCAAUGGAAUAAAACAAGAGUCUACAAAAAAAAAUAAUCAAUUCUUGAAUAAGAGUGAUAAACAUGUGAGAAAAAAGAAAACUCUUUGUCAUUAGGAUACCGGAAUCUCCAAAUAUCAAAAACUCCAUUGUCAGUCAAAAAAGAGUUAAUACAAGUGGCCGACUUAUUAGGUAAAGUCUGAAUAGAUAAAGAUUUAUCCAUCAGAGGAUUUAAACAACAAUUAAAGUCACCACCCAUUAUUAACUUAUAUUCGUUUAGAUUGGGUAAAGAAGUAAAUAAAGACUUAAAAAAGUCAGGACAAUCCACAUUUGGAGCAUAAACAUUAACCAAAGCAACCUUUUUAUUACAAAGUAAACCCGUAAUUAACAAAAAUCUGUCAUUCGGAUCCGAAAAAAUAUCAUGUUGAACAAAUGAAAUAGAGGAGUCAAUAAAAAUUGAAACUCCUUUUACUUUAGCAUUCGAAUUUGCGUGAUACUGUUGACCCCGCCAAAAUCUAUAAAAACGAAAUUUGUCCCUCCUCACAUGAGUUUCUUGUACAAAAAUGAUAUGAGCAUUAAGUCUUUGGAAUACUUUGAAAAUCUUCUUUCGUUUAAUUGGAUGAUUUAAACCAUUAGUAUUCCAAGACACAAAAUUAAUGGUCUGAGCCAUAAUUCUAUAAUCAACCCUUUGGUAUAGAAAGGGUUAACCAACUUAUAAACUCAUGCACCCGGAAGAGGAACAAAAGUAGUGAGAAAACCCGGAAGUGACGACAACACAGACAUAUUUGAAGUUCAAAAACAGCCCGAAUAAAAAAACUAACACAAACUGGUACAAAAAAAAUAGAAUUAGAAAACAGACCAUCCCCCCACCACCCGAGAAAAAGAGAAAAAGCCAAAAUAUGACUUAAAAAGAGAAAAAGUAAGACUAAUCCUACCCCCAUGUCAGCUGAAGAACACUCCAUAUAAAAAGGAUAUAUAUAAAAGAAUCACCCCAACUUUAAAAAUAAAAUCGCUAUAAUAAAGACCAUAUUUCUAAGUAUAGUUAGUUGUAAAAAGAAUAAAAAUAUAAUCACUAAAAAACUAUUAUAACUCGGGCUCUGGCCCAGACAAAACAAAAAAUAUUUAAGCUAAGAUAAGCGAUGCAUUGUACGGAAGAAACGCGAAAAAUAUAAACAUAAUGCCAUCGUAAGCAAAACCAAAAAUCUUUUCCAAAAAACCACCAUCUUAAUCAAGGAAAAAUUUACCUUCAAAGAAUUAAAAAUAUACCUUCGAAGGAACAAAGUUUAUAGACAAGUAUGUAGUUAAAUGAUUAAAGUGUAUAAGGCAAAACAAUUAACAUGACGCAAACACACUUUAACUUGAGUAUAAAGUAUAGGAUGAACCUACACCAAUAACCAGAUUUUAAUUCUGGUUUAAGAGAUCGAGAACCAUCUUACACGAUCAGAAUCAUUCAUUUAUUAAAGACUGGUGUCUGUAGCAGUAGGGAAGUUCUCCUCCAGAUAUUUUCUCGCUUCUGAAUUUGAAAGGAAAACCUGUCGUGGAGCAUGCGACGGAGAAAUUCGGAGCUUCGCAGGGUAUAGAAGCGCAGGUUUCAGAUUUUUCUCAUAACAUUCAGCCAUCAACGGUUUAAAAAGAAGCCUUCUUUUUUAAAGAUCUGAACUAAAAUCUUCGAUCAGGCGGAAGCAAAAAUCUUUGAUUUUAAUCAUUCCUACCCGACGAGCUGCUCGUAUAAGUUGUUCUUUGUCAUGUACAUAGUGGAACCGGACAAUUACCACCGAAGGUUUGUCUGUAACACUCGGUGAUCGAUGCCGAAUUCUAUGUGACCGAUCCAAUAAAGGAGGGUUAUUCGGGAAAAUCGUCGGAAACGCUUCUUUUAAAAGUUGAGCAAAAUAUUUCGAAGGAUCAUCUUUUUCUAUGCCGUCUGGAAGACCAAGUAUACGUGUCACAUUGCUGUUCGUGACAUGAUCACAAGUCCGGUGGAUGCAAUGAGUCCGUUCUGUUGCAUGCAGUCAACUCAGGCGUACACUUCGGCUGAACAUCCAGUAUCUGGUCCACGUGAUGUUUCCAUGAUGAAGAGGGAAGACACGUGUAGAGAGAGCUGGUAGACCACCGGACGGAGUGGACUGAGAUCUGAGGGUCCAAAGGUUGGCGACACUCGGAGGAGACCAACGGUGGAAGAAUGACUACUGAGUGAGCUCCAAUGUGAACUUUCGACUUUCCUUGAAUUGGGCCCUUUUUAUAUUUUCAUUACUAACCCUAUAUUCAGAUUAAGAUUCAUAAAUUUCAAUCAUUUAAUUGCAUAUGAUGUACUGUCUGAUAUUUUGUGUUGUGGGUUUGUAACUGGGUGGUACAUUACACAGCAUCCAUACAAACGUGAUUCCCCAGUUUGGCGGGGACAAAGGCUGUUUACCCUAGACAAACACGAGCUGGGCGAGCCUGAGGGCCGCAUGAGUAAUUAAUUAUUUAAUUAAAUUAAACCCAAACAAAUUAACACACCAUCAAUACUACUACAGCACUAUAAAACUGCAUUAGUUCCUAAUCAUUGGAUAUAUUUAAGGCAGAGAUUGAUCGUUUCUUGAUUGGACAAGGCAUCAAAGGGGAGAAGGCUUGAGAAUGGGGUUGAGAAGGGGAAGAAAGGAUCAACCAUGACUGAAUGGCUUAAUUCUGCUCCUAUGUCUUAUGGACUUGUGAUCUAAUAGUUACCAAUGGAGGAAUUCAUCCAGCAUACAUUGUCAUGUUCUUUUGAUUGGCUUCAAAUGAACAUAAUCUCUGCAAGCUCCCAGUACAGAUAAUGGACUGCCUUCACACAAUGCUUUCGAAGAUUGCAUUGUCCAAAUCUUCACUGUGAAUCAUUAACAUGAAUGUUUAAAUAAAUAAGCUUGAUUCAGGAGUACAUCACUCAACACUUUAGUUCAUACUGUGUUUGAUUAAGCUCAUCACUCUUUUGAUCACCCAUUUUUGCCAUUCACGGCAAUCAUUCACUACCCUGCUUAUCAAGGAUGUAUCUAUCUCUGUAUUAAAAAGAGCCAGACUCUGCUUUCACAGUCUUUUAAGAAAGAAAAAUUCAAAGGCGCAAUGUCCUUUCAAAGAAAAUAGAGCUAUGCAUCCCUGCCCUACUUUUAAAUGCCUAUUCUAGAUAUUCUCACAAGAGAAAGCAUCCUUUUGAUAAGGGACUGAAUCUUAUAUUUCAAUCUUGUCCCCUCCCACCCAUCUGAAUUUCAAUGAAUAUACAAGCAUUGCCUCAUCAAUCCUUCCCCAUGAGACAAUGUACCCCCUCCCCUUCUUCAGAUUCAUUAACGUCCUUCCUCAAAUAUGGAGAACAAUGUUCUACACGAUUUCUCAGAUGUGAUCUCAUCAAUGCCCCACAGACCUGAGGCAUAUCCUUCCUAAUUUAGUAUAAAAGUCAACAGGAUAUACUUACCAAGAUCCUGUUACGUUUCCUACUUAAUUACUUUCUUUCUUGCUAUAGUCAGUCAUAAAUUAUCCACUGUAAAAUUCAGAUCCUUUUACAUCUUGGAGAAUCUUUUAUCAUUUAGAUAUUACUGUAUCCUUUUAUCUUUUUCCUAUCUAUAUAACCAUAUAACAAUUACAGCACGGAAACAGGCCAUCUUGGUGCUUCUAGUCCAUGCUGUACACUUACUCUCACCUAGUCCUACCAACCUGCACUCAGCCCAUAACCCUCCAUUCCUUUCCUGUCCAUAUACCGAUCCAAUUUUGCUUUAAAUGACAAUACCGAACCUGCCUCUACCACUUCUACUGGAAGCUCAUUCCAAUCAGCUAACACUCUCUGAGUAAAGAAAUUCCCCCUCAUGUUACCCUUAAACUUGUGCCCCCAAACUCUCAGAUCAUGUCCUCUUGUUUGAAUCUCCCCUACUCUCAAUGGAAAAAGCCUAUCCAUCGAAAUGGACAAUUUCAUAUUGUCCCAUGAUGUACACUAUUCACCAAAUGUUAGUUUACUAAACCAUUAUUUCUUAAUAAGUCCACUUGUUUUCUUCACAAUUUACUUGGCACAUCAAGAGAAAAUAUAGAAAGCUUGCCUUCCGACCUUUUAUCUGAGGUAUUUUCAUAGAUCGUAACAAGUUGGGACUCACCACUCCUCACACCUUGCCAGACCUAAUGUCUGUUCCCAGUUAGUCAGUCAACCAUAUGUUCAUUUGCACCUUCUGAACUAGGUACUUUUAUUGUGGCAAUAAACCUUAAUAUGGUUUUAUCAUAUAUAAAAAAUGUCAUUUCAUAUCAAUGCAACAUUAUUUUAGUUAAACUGCAAACAGUAGUUAUACAGCUGGAAUGUAAUUCAAAAUUAUGGAUUUGUUAUAUUAAAAUUUCUAUCAAACAUCUGGUUCAGAUACUGCCAGGAAAGGAGAAGAAUGGUGAAGCAUAUGUACACAGCAGCAGUAAAUGGGCAGUGGAAAACAGAUAUAUUAAGAGGAAUAGAUCAAGUGGAUAGCCAGCACCUCUUCCCCAGGACACCACCGCUCAGUACAAGAGGACAUGGCUUUAAGACAUAGUGGAAAUGUGCUCAAUAGAACUUGAAGUUUCCACUGAGAUCACACGUUUUGUUGUGGGAGUGAACCAAGGAGGAUUUCUGGUGACUGCCCGCUCCUGGGGAAACUCCAUCAGAGGAGUAAUCACCAAAAAAGUAAGUUUGCUCCGUGCUCUAUGUGGCCUUUCAAGGUGAGUAGCAGAUACCAGGCUCUGUGCGGUCCUGUUGAGUGGACAGUUUCUCUUUCUGUGAUCCCAAAGCUUUCAGCACAGCGACUCAAAACAAAUGGGUAUCAAUGACUGUAAUAUUGUCAGGGAUGCAGCAGAUCUCACUGUAAGAAUGUCAUGGAUACCUAUGGCAUCAAAGAUGCACCAGAUUUGACCAAGAAGAGUGUUGGGGACACCUGGCAUCAGAGUCACACCAGAUUUGACCAAUUAGAGUGUUGGACACGUGUUUUUUAUGAUAAAUCUCAGGAGCAGCAGAUAGAAUAGAUCAGACCGACUCAGAGAAUUGUUUCAGACUAAAGGGCUUUAUUACAUGAUAUCACAGAGAGACACUUGUACCUAAAAGUGGUGCUUGGGGACUCUGCUUAGCUCUCAGACAUGCUUCAUUGUAUAGACACAGCAUGCGUAAUUAAAAGCAUUUAACAAUAACAUUGCUUGACUGUGAACCUAGAACUAGCUUGUAACAAACAACGUGACUUUGAAUUUAGGACUAAAUUGCAACAAACAAGAACAUUACUUAAAUGUGGCGCCACAACAUCCUUGUAGCAAGAACUUUAGCUAAACUUUAAGACCUGUAAGGACUUCAGCUAAUUUUUUUAUCAAUCUUUUUACUGAGUUUCGAGUAGAUAAACAUAACAAUGGUAAUGAUACAAAGAGAUUGGGAUUACAUUAAUAAAAGUUAAUUUAUACAGAAACAGACUCCAAGUAACAUGUGUAUUCUAAGCCUCCGAAUCUCAUAGUAACUAAAUAUGAAAAAGAUUCCAAAAAAAUUUUACAAGAGAAAAAAAGUCCGUCUAAACUAAAAAAAAAACAAAAUAGAAACAAAACAAAACAAAAGCUGGGCUGCCACGUUUCAUCGGUUAGAAUCAUUAUUUGUUAUUAACUCCGCUCCUCUAUACAUGAACAAAAAGUUAUUGAGAUGGAUUCAGAAAAGGGCAAUUUACAUCAUAUGAAAAUGUUGAAUAAAUGGCCUCCAAGUUUCUUCAAAUUUAACUGAAGGGUUGCCGGUGCCGCUAAUUUUUUUUUCCAAGUUUAAACAAGUUAUAAUUUGGGAAAACCAUUGAAGUGUAGUGGAGGGAUUAGAGUAUUUCCAUUUAAAUAAAAUGGAUCUUCUGGCUUUUAACAUAACAAAUGCAAUCAAAUAGAAAGCUGAGGGGGUAAUUGACUAGAGUCCAUCACUGGCAAUCCAAAAAUUGCAGUAAUAGGAUGAGGUUGUAAAUCAAUAUGCAAAACUGCUGAAAUAAUAUCAAAAAUAUCUUUCCAAUAUUUUCCCAAAAGAGGUCAAGACCAGAACAUAUGUGUCAAGAAAGUUACCUCAGACUUACAUCUGUCACAGACAGGAUUUAUAGGUCAAUAAAAAUGAGCUAACUUAUCCUUGGACAUAUGGGCCCUAUGAACCACCUUAAAUUGUAUUAAAGUGUCUCUAGCACAAAUUGAAGAUGUGUUAACUAGUUGGAGAAUUUUCUCCCAUUUCUCUAUAGGUAAAGAUAUCUGAAAUUCUCUUUCCCAUUCAUUCUUAAUUUUAUCAGAUGUACCUAGACAUAUUUUCG